GCUGGGAUAGCUCAGUUGGUAGAGCAUGAGACUCUUGAUCUCAGGGUCAUGGGUUCAAGCCCUACAUUGGGCG